UAGAAGGUAACCAAAAUUAAAUAUUUUUCUAUAAACAUUAAAAGUAUCUAUAGAAUAUAAUUUUUUUAAAUGGUAUUUAUUUAAAAUAAAUAAGGUGUUAACCUUUGCUAUAGGAGGUUUUUCCUAAAUUGAACCCACGAGAUAGCCACAAUUCUCUGAAAAGCCCAAGAGAAUAACAAGAUCACAGACUACAUAAAUAAACAUCGGACCCCCAGACUGCAUCUACACAGAUUACUGGUAGUUAACUCGAGGGCAAGAAUGACCACAAGGAUAGUGGUUACAUUCAUAGUUAACCUAUAACUUGGGAAUACAAUAAAACAUUCACUCCAGGAUCCUAUACUGCUCCAUCCCAGAAAGGAAAGCAGCAUGUGCAAUAAAUGAAAGGCCAAUCUACAUCUGAUAUACAUUACAGUAGUAAAAGCAAAAACUGAAAGAUUGCUUAGGCCACAGCAUUAGGGAGACUAUUAUUGUGAGCUUCAUGCAGUAUACUGAGGUCAUCCAAGUUGACACAACCUUGUAUCCCAGUAGUAAAAGCAAAAACCGAAAAAGAUUGCUUAGGCCACAGCACUAUUAUUGUGAGCUUCAUGCUGUAUACUGAGGUCAUCCAAGUUGACACAACCUUGUAUCCGUAAUCCAUGUUCAUUUG
rnacentral:lncRNA from 1 species